GAUGAACGCUAGCGGCAGGCUUAAUACAUGCAAGUCGAGGGGCAGCAGCUCUGUAGCAAUACAGAGGCUGGCGACCGGCAAACGGGUGCGGAACACGUACGCAACCUUCCUUUAACUGGAAGAUAGCCCACCGAAAGGUGGAUUAAUAUUCCAUAGUAUAUUGAAAAGGCAUCUUUUUGAUAUUAAAGCUCCGGCGGUUAAAGAUGGGCGUGCGUCUGAUUAGGUAGUUGGCGGGGUAAUGGCCCGCCAAGCCCACGAUCGGUAGCUGAUGUGAGAGCAUGAUCAGCCACACGGGCACUGAGACACGGGCCCGACUCCUACGGGAGGCAGCAGUAAGGAAUAUUGGUCAAUGGACGCAAGUCUGAACCAGCCAUGCCGCGUGGAGGAUGAAGGCCCUCUGGGUUGUAAACUUCUUUUCUUUGGGACGAAACCCCUGUUUCUACGGGGACUGACGGUACCAGAGGAAUAAGCACCGGCUAACUCCGUGCCAGCCGCCGCUGUAAUAC
rnacentral:rRNA from 1 species